UAAGGGCGUUGGGCUUUAUAACAGAGGAAUCAGAUUGAAUAUUUAGAUUGCUCGUAUAUAAUUGUUUAUGGGGUUGUAUGAGAUUUGGCUUGGAUGUAAUCCUUAUCAUUGACUGCCCAAAGUUGUGCGGUGAUACUUUCUUUGAAUCUCAAACAAACUAAAUGUCUUCAAUAAAGUGUCAGUGCUCUUGGCUGCUUUCCAAUUCUUCACCAGUAAUGGCAGCUAAUGACAAGAUCAAUGAUGCGAGACAUACUAAUUUUGCUCAAAUACCUUCAUGGAUCUCUUUGAAACACAGUCAUUCUUCGUUGAGGACCCAUCAAAAUAAACAAGGCCAAGUUGAAAACUUGCAUUUGAUUUCUUUAGCUAAACAAGGGAAGCUUAGAGAAGUGCAUGACUUCAUCAAAACCAUGGACGAAGCAGGUAUUUCCAUUAAUCCCCGAUCAUACGAAUACCUCUUCAAAAUGUGUGGAAUGUUGGGGGCGCUGUCUGAUGGAAAAUUAUUUCAUAAUAGACUGCAAAGAAGGGCUGACGGAAAUAAAUUCAUUGACAAUUGUAUUCUUCAAAUGUAUUGUGACUGUAAGAGUUUCUUAACUGCAGAGAAAUUCUUUGAUGAAAUGGUUAACCGGGAUUUGUUCUCUUGGGCCACCAUUAUAUCUGCUUACACUGAGGAAUGGCGUAUAGAUGAAGCUGUUAGAUUGCUCGUACGUAUGCUGGAUUUGGGUAUCUCACCAAACACCUCUAUCUUCAGUACUCUUAUGGCGUCUUUUGCAAAUCCUUCAAUGUUAGAUUUCGGCAAACAGAUACAUUCUCAGUUGAUAAGGAUUGGGUUUACUGCCAAUGUUUCUACUCAGACAUUAAUCUCCAACAUGUAUGUCAAGUGCGGGUGGUUGGAUGGUGCUGAAGUUGCCACCAAUAAGAUGACUAGGAAAAAUGUUGUGGCUUGCACUGGGUUGAUGGUGGGCUAUAAUCAAGCUGCAAGGCAUAGGGAUGCUCUGUUAUUAUUUGCCAAGAUGUUAAUUGAAGGUGUAGAGUUGGAUGAAUUUGUCUUCUCAGUUGUGCUCAAGGCAUGUGCCGCAUUAGGAGACUUGUACACUGGAAGGCAAAUUCAUAGUUACUGUCUAAAACUUGGCAUGGAAUCUGAGGUCUCAGUUGGUACUCCCCUAGUAGACUUCUAUGUUAAGUGUGCAAUGUUUGAAGCUUCACGUCAGGCUUUUAAGAGUAUACGUGAACCAAAUGAUUUUUCGUGGAGUGCUUUAAUUGCCGGAUAUUGCCAAAGUGGUCGAUUUGAUAGAGCUCUUGAGGUUUUUAAGACAAUAAGAAGUAAAGGGGUGUUAUUGAAUUCAUUCAUCUACACCAACAUUUUUCAAGCAUGCUCUGCUGUCUCAGAUUUAAAUUACGGUGCUCAAAUUCAUGCAGAUGCAAUAAAAAAGGGGCUAGUUGCAUACCUCUCUGGGGAGAGUGCUAUGAUCACUAUGUACUCAAAAUGUGGCAAAAUGGACUAUGCACAGCAAGCAUUUUUUAUUAUAGAUAAACCUGAUACUGUUGCAUGGACUGCAAUAAUAUGUGCCCAUGCUUACCAUGGCAAAGCUUAUGAAGCUUUGAGGCUUUUUAAAGAGAUGCAGGCGUCUGGUGUAAGGCCAAAUGCUGUCACAUUCAUAGGUUUGUUAACUGCUUGUAGUCACUCAGGUUUAGUUAAAGAGGGAAAGCAGUUUUUGGAUUCAAUGAAUGACAAAUAUGGUGUGAACCCAUCAAUUGAUCAUUACAAUUGCAUGAUUGAUAUAUACUCUCGUGCUGGAUUAUUACAGGAGGCUCUUGAGGUGAUAAGGAGUCUGCCAUUUGAACCUGAUGUAAUGAGUUGGAAAAGUUUACUUGGAGGAUGUUGGAGCCAUCGGAAUCUUGAGGUUGGGAUGAUUGCAGCUGAUAAGAUCUUUCACCUGGAUCCACUAGACUCUGCUACUUAUGUAAUCAUGUUCAACCUAUAUGCUUGGGCUGGGAAUUGGGAUGAAGCAGGGAAAUUUAGAAAGAUGAUGGCUGAAAGGAACUUGAGGAAGGAAGUCAGUUGCAGUUGGAUUAUUGUGAAGGGUAAAGUCCAUCGUUUUGUGGUAGGUGACAGACACCACCCUCAAACAGAACAGAUAUACUCAAAAUUAAACGAACUUGAUUUUGCUUUCAAAAAGGGUGAGGAAAACCUUCUCAAUGUAGAUGAUGCGCUAUGUGACUUUACCGAACGGAAAGAGCAGCUUCUUGAUCAUAGUGAGAGACUAGCUAUAGCUUAUGGUCUCAUAUGUACCACAACUGUGACCCCCAUUAUGGUAUUCAAAAAUACUCGAUCAUGCAAAGACUGUCAUGAUUUUGCAAAAAGAGUCUCGACAGUAACUGGUCGUGAAUUAAUUGUGAGAGAUGCCAAUAGGUUCCAUCAUAUUAAUUCAGGGCAAUGUUCUUGCCGUGAUUACUGGUGAUUUUUGCUGAGUUCUUCUCUAGGUCUAAGUUGCUUGGUUUUUCUUAAUGCUGCAUCAGUUACAGAGUUGAAUCAUCAUACAAUUGGAUAUGCAGAGCUCUCGUUGGAUUACUGUAGAUGAGUAUCAUAAGCCAACUUCUGGUGCAGCUAUCCUUGUCAUUGCUAUAAAUCUAGCGUAUUCUUUCUUACACUUUAGACAAAGUGAUACUCAGGAUUUAAGUCUCCAUAGUUGUUUAUGCCUAAUUGUUGAGUAAUGGGCACUCCUCCAUGGAGGUUCCAUAUACAAAUCAUGUGAUAGUCAGAUGGUUCAGACCUCAGCAGAUUGUACUGUUAGGAUCAAGCAACUUCCAUUGCACCAAAUGCUACAGGGACUUUACCUAUGGUAGUUGCCACAGGGAGGGAUGUUAAGUCUUCAAAUCCUAGGCAAUCAAGCACCUUCCACUGCACCAAGAGGCUGGAAUAUGUUGUUUUACUUAUGGGGCAUAUUUAGAGGGAGGAGGAUUAUUCAUUCAGAUUCUGCAAAAAAGACUUGUAUUCCCAGUUUGAGUGCGCUACCAGUUGAGGUGAAUUCUUCAGCUGUUGUGACUUCGCCUGAAACCCUUUGUUCACCAAAAUGUAUGCAUGAAGAAUCAAUUGAUUGUGAUAAAGCGUGCAAUGCAGUUCUCCCAUCCACAUCCAUAGACCAACAUCAGAUUGCUGCAAGUAGGAAUAUUGAUGUCAAUCACCAGACACAUCUGCAUUCACAAGAAAACUUAGGGAAGCUAGAUGGUAGUAUUGACUCGAAAUCUACAUCAAGGGUUCCAAGAAACAGUUCUCUGUUAUGUCAAGAAAUGAAAUCCGCUGGUUCAUCCCUGAAAGCUGGUGAACUUGAACAUGGAAAAUAUAGAGUAUCUAAACCUUCUGAUGCAAUGGGAACAAGUGUAAGGAGUAGGAUUGUGGAAGCAAAAACUGAUUCUGAUAUUACUGGCAAGCAAGAGAAUGGUUUGUAUUCAUUGAUUCCUUUUGAAAAAGUUGCUGCGAGCAUUGAUAGGAAAGAAAUUUUUUUGCAUGGAAUAAAGGGUGAUGAAGAUGAGCAAAGCUCUAAGAGGAAACAAAAGGAGGAUUUUCACAAUGUUGAUUUGGAGGCAAACAUUGACAAUAAUCAAGAAACAGAUGCUGCAAGCAAUUUUAGAAAGGAUAGGGGUUCAAAAUCAAUGAUUAGCAACGUUGAAGAUCAACAAAGGCCCAAGAGGAAACAGAAAGAUGAACGCUAUAUUGACUUGGAGGCAAAUAUUGAAAAUCAAGAAACAUGUGGAGCAACCUAUAUUAGUAUGGAUAAAAGUUCAGAAAAAAUUGACAGUGAUGAAGACCAGCGACUGCUUAAGAGGAAACAAAAAGACAAUGAUCAUCACUACAUUAACUUGGAGGCAGCUUUUCAGGAUGAGCUGUGUGAAGGGAACUGUCAACUACCUAAUGAUAGAGAAGUUCAGAAUGUAGAUUUUUCUGACACAAUUAUGGGGCCUUCAGUAGUCAGUUGUCAGAAAAUGCCUUGGAAUGAGGGAAAUGGAAAGUUAGAAGAUGGAGAAAGUUCUAGUAAGAAGCUAAAGACAGGUUUCAGUAGGAUUUAUGAAUCUUGCAGUUCUAGAGGUGGAAGCUCCUUUAGUGACAGUUUUACAUCUCUUAGAAAUGACCUUGGUUCUUCAUCUUCAGUCAAGGACAAAGGAUGUGAAGAAGCUUGUGAUGAGAAAAUCAUUCAUGAAGACUUGGGAACAAUGGAAAGAACCUUCUUUCCCGUUGAUACACACAAUAUUAGUGACGCCCAAUCGGUGCUGAAUAGCAUGUCAAUGAAAGGCCUUCGUGAGUCUGAGGAACAAUUUCAAGAUGUGAUUCCCAAUCUAGAACUUGCUUUAGGGGGCAAAACAAAACCACUGCUGGCGACACCACCACCUGCUCCUAAGGGUAUGCUGCCUUUCUUAGUUGGGGCAGUAGACAGGAAAAAUAACCAUCCAAAUGGCUUAGGAGAUGGGCAGGAGGAUGAUGCUGUUGCUGCAUCUCUUUCACUUUCUCUAUCCUUUCCAUCUUCAAACAAGGAACACAAAAAAGCUGCUUCAAAAGCUGAGCUUUUACCUGAGGGACACCCCGUGAACACCUCGUUGCUCCUUUUUGGAAGAUUCCCUGACAAAUAAAUUUGCUCGAUGCUUUAUGUUUCCAAUCUUGUAAAUUAUGUUGUUCUGGAUUGUCCAAUGUCCAUCCUGUAUGAUAGAUAAGCUUCCAGUCCCUAUACAAAGGAGCCAUUGUCCCCAACAAGAGUCAAUUUUUUUAGUCCUUUUAGAACUUUGUUAUAUACAUGUUUUACGUUAGCUUUUUUGUUUUCAGAAUGCAGAGUUCCGGCUGUUUGUAUAUAGAGAGAAUUUAAGCCGGUAUAAUUUCAAAAAUGUUACUAUGAACUUGCGGAUGAC